rnacentral:snRNA from 2 species
AGCUUUGCACAGUGGCAGUAUCCUAGCCAAUGAGGUUUAUCCAAGGUGGGAUUACUGCUAGUUGAAAACUGUAUAUUAUAUGUUAAAAGAGUAUAUUAUACGUGUUCUACCAC